rnacentral:lncRNA from 1 species
AUGAAUAAACAAAUAAGAAGCUCUUUAUUUUUAUCUCACCACCUUCUUUUUUUUUUCUUCCAUUCCUCCUCACGUCCUCCGUCGGGCUCUGCGGAAUCACCCACCCAAUCCCCCAUGUGCCAGAGCUGGUUAAAAAGAAAACUGGUCUGCACAUCCACCUGGUGCUCACUCUUGGAAACCAGCCACCAUGCUGUGAAGAAGCCCAAGCGUCCUGUGGAGAGACCCAGGAGGGGAGGAUGAGUGUCUCCAGCCCAUAGCCCUCUGCUAGUCCCAGCUGACAGACAGCCCCACCUUGCCAGUCCUGGGAGUUAUGUGCAACCUUUAAACUAGCAACCCCAGUGGGUGCUGCCUGGACUAGAGAUGAGCCACGCCCACUGAGCCUUUUGUUGUUUAGUUGCUCAGUCGUGUCCUACUGUUUUCGACCCCACCAGGCUUCCCUGUCCUUUACCAUCUCCUGGAGUUUGCUCAAACUCAUGUCCAUUGAAUCAGUGAUGCCAUCCAACCAUCUCAUCCUCUGCCCUCCCCUUCUCCUUCUGCCUUCAGUCUUUCCCAGCAUCAGGAUCUUUUCCAGUGAGUCAGCUCUUUGCAUCAAGUGGCCAAAGUAUUGGAACUUCAGCAUCAUCCUUCCAAUGAAUAUGAUUUCCUUUAAGAUUGACUGGUUUGAUCUCCUUGCAGUCCAAGGGACUCUCAAGAGUCUUCUCUAGCAUCAUAGUUCAAAGGCAUCAGUUCUUUGGUGCUCAACUUUUUUUUUAUUGUCCAGCUCACAUCCGUACAUGACUACCAGAAAAACCAUAGCCUUGACUAUAUGGAUCUUUGUAGGCAAAGUAAGUCUCUGUUUUUUAAUAUGCUAUCUAGGUUUAUCAUUGCUUUUCUUCCAAGGGGCAAGCAUCUUUUAGUUUCAUGGCUGCAGUCACUGUCAACAGUGAUUUUGGAGCCUAAGGUAUAAAUAAUCAUUGUUGUUUUAAGUUACUAGAUUUUGGUUGGUUAGGUUGCAAUAGAUAGUCCAAACAACAAAUACAUGUCCUAACAAGAGUUUUCUGCUUUGCGGAGAUAAAAUAUUUUAUCUCCUGUUUUAACCUGUUUUCUACCUCUGGACUUCCCUGGUGACUCAGCGCUAAAGAGUCUGCCUGCCAAAACAGGAGAGGCGGGUUUGAUCCCUGGGUCAGGAAGAUCCCCUGGAGGAGGAAAUGGCAACCCACUCCAGUAUUCUUGCCUGGGAAAUCCCAUGGAUAGAAGAGCCUGGCAGUCUACAGUCCAGGGGGUUGCAAAAUAGUCAGACAUGACUUAGCAACUACACAACAACAACCAACUAGUUUUCUAUCUCUACAUGCACUUCCAAUUCUCUUUGAAAAUUAGUGCUCCUUAUGAAACUUGAUAGUUCUCAACAUGACAUCUAAGUAGAGACUUGAAGAAUGAAUUCAGAUGAAGAGAGGUGGGAAAAGCAUUGCAGGCUUCCUCACCAGGACAGAGGCAUCAUAGCACAAGGAGUUAAGGGAGCACCAGAACCUAGAGGCAGCAGGUCCAUUCUGAAAUGUGAGGAAGGCAAACAGAAGUAGGGAAUGAGAAGGGAUGGGUCAGUUGGGGCCACAUCCUGAGAACCCGCUGGGGAGCAGAAGAAUUGAACUGGUGACUCACCUCUAAUUAUAUAAUAAACUCAAGUGGGACUGGUUCCUAAAGCUGGGU